rnacentral:rRNA from 1 species
GGUGAGUCGGGUCCUAAGGCGAGGCCGACAGGCGUAGUCGAAUGGAUGAACGGGUGGAUAUUCCCGUACCGACCAUGGACCGGCAAAACCGAGACGGUGAGUACUAACCUCCGCCUCGUGGUGGUUCCUUCCUUCGGGUUGGUUCCGUCGCGUGGUGUUGGGAGCGUAGCCGUAGUAGGUCAGCGCAGGGGUGACACGGAAUGGGAGCCGGCCGCGGAGGUGGUUUUCCGUGGUCAAGCACGCAGCCAGUCAUGUAGGCAAAUCCGCAUGGCGCGCAUGGCGAGGUGUGAUGAUGGGAGCCGUUAUGGCUCGAUAUCCGGUUGUCCAGGCCGUCGAGAAAAGCCUCGGCGUGAGGGCCAUGGCCGCCCGUACCCCAAACCGACACUGGUGGUCAGGUAGAGAAUACCAAGGCGAUCGAGCGAAUCCUGGUCAAGGAACUCGGCAAAUCACUCCCGUGCCUUCGGUAUAAGGGAGACCCACUGGGGUGAAGGACCUUGCGUCCGGAGCUUUGGUGGGUGGCACAGACCAGGGGGUAGCGACUGUUUACCAAAAACACAGGUGCAUGCGAAGGCGAAAGCCGCUGUAUAUGCACUGACGCCUGCCCGGUGCCGGAAGGUUAAGAGGAUCCGUCAGUCCUUCGGGAUGAAGCGGUGAAUUCAAGCCCCGGUAAACGGCGGUGGUAACUAUAACCAUCCUAAGGUAGCGAAAUUCCUUGUCGGGUAAGUUCCGACCUGCACGAAUGGCGUAACGACUUCCCCACUGUCUCGACCAGGAGCUCGGCGAAAUUGCAGUACGAGUAAAGAUGCUCGUUAAGCGCAGAAGGACGAAAAGACCCCGGGACCUUUACUAUACCUUGGUAUUGGCGUUAGGCGCGGAUUGUGUAGCAUAGGCGGGAGGCUUCGAAGCGUGGGCGCCAGCUCAUGUGGAGCCGCAAGGUGAAAUACCGCUCUGUUCUCGUUUGACGUCUAACCUCGACAAGUCAUCCUUGUCAGGGACAGUGCCUGGCGGGUAGUUCAACUGGGGCGGUUGCCUCCCAAAGAGUAACGGAGGCGCUCAAAGGUCCGCUCAGCCCGGUUGGCAAUCGGGUGUCGAGUGUAAUCGCACAAGCGGGCUUGACUGCGAGGACGACGGUCCGAGCAGGGACGAAAGUCGGAGAUAGUGAUCCGGUGCCGGCGCACGGGCGCGGCAUCGCUCAACGGAUAAAAGGUACCCCGGGGAUAACAGGCUGAUCAUUCCCAAGAGUCCAUAUCGACGGGAUGGUUUGGCACCUCGAUGUCGGCUCGUCGCAUCCUGGGGCUGGAGCAGGUCCCAAGGGUUCGGCUGUUCGCCGAUUAAAGCGGCACGCGAGCUGGGUUCAGAACGUCGUGAGACAGUUUGGUCUCUAUCCUCUGCGCUCGUUGGAAUCCUGAGGAGGCCUGCCCAUAGUACGAGAGGACCUGGGUGGACGAACCUCUGGUAUGCCGGUUGUCGCGCCAGCGGCACGGCCGGUUGGCUACGUUCGGGAGGGAUAACCGCUGAAAGCAUCUAAGCGGGAAGCCUGCUCCAAGAUUAGGAUUCCAUGGAUCUUCGAGAUCCUGUAGCCCGCAUGUUGAACACGUGUUUGAUAGGCCGGAGGUGGAAGCCCCGUGAGGGGUGGAGCCGACCGGUACUAACGGGCGACGGCGACAUAA